ensembl:lncRNA
CUCUGAGAACCAGUCUUUGCUCAUCCAGACUCACCAACAGAAGUCCAUAUUUGAACCACAGAGCAAAUAACGUCCAAAGAGACGUGUCCCUCAAUCCUUCCAUCUACAGCAGAGCAGUCAAGCAAACUUCAGGGAGAUUGAUGUUGGACAGGAUGAUCUAUGGCUCAGCUCAUGGGCUCUUCUGGAGCACCAGGCUGAGCUGGCAUCACCCAAGUGAGAGGCAAAGACACAUACACCCAGGAACAGAAAGUUCAUUGUCAGCCUGAGUGCAGGAUUGGGACCCAGGGUGUACGGCAUGACUGAAAGAAAAGGAAACCAUAAAGAUGAAGAAUCUAGAAAAUAUAUCUUUGUAAAGCUGGCAUGGAAAGGAUUAGAGGGGUUAUCAAGAAACCAUUUUCUUGAAACAGUGGCACGAAGAUGGUCAGAACGGCAGUUCUGGUUCAGGGCCAAGGUUCAUUUAGCCCAGAAGUUUCUCUUCUGCAGAGGCUGUAGCAGACAUGAGGGAGAAAUGCAAACAGAACAAAGCUUGUGCAUGGCAGAAAGGGUGAGUUCACUUCUCAAUAUACAAGCCGAAGGUCUCUUCCAGGACUGCUGUGAAGGAUUUGGAAGAUGUUUCACUCAAACACAGAAUUUAUAUAUAGGCACAAAGCUUUCAUUAAACAUGAGCAGCUAAGGGGACAGCAUCAGUCACUGAUGGUAAUGUAUGCACGUCUUGUAGGCACACUAUAGAGGAACAAGCUGCCUUGCAGAAAUUAAUACAGCAAAGGUGUUGAUUAUUGAUGCAUUUGUUACUGAAUUGACUCCGCCUAAGUUUCCAGAGCCAAUGUGACUUCCAGAUCUAUUUGUAGAUUACCAAAUGCUCACAGUGUGACUGUCGCUUUUGCAUUUACUGCAGCAGAUGCCUCAAUGUAAUAUUUGAUGCGUACUUUAGAUGACUACCUUGUGUACCAAAACUGAAUAACCCUGAAUAAGAAUAAGUCUUUGAGAACCUGGCAGAGUAGAAAGGAAGAUCCCUGUACUGGUACAGCCUUCUCCAUCAUCACCAAAGGUAAUGGAGCCACAAAGAUCCAGAGCGCUGCGAGAGAUGUCUACCUGUAGCAAUGGGUACUGUGUUUUGAUGCAACAAAUUCUGAAUGAAUUUGUGGAAGUGUGCAUUUUGUUAAAAUCACCACUGAAGAAGGAAAUUAAUUGCUUAGGGGGCUUCCUGGCUAGUGCAAUAAGCUACAAUUGUUACUAAUGGAAUGCCGCUGUAAAGGGAAAAUAGGAGCUAUCAUGAGUAUUUGCUGUAGAAUUGUCUUGUCCAGAAGAAAAGACUCCAUAUUGCUUGGAAUAUUUAAAAUAAGGCUGAAUAAAAUGUGCUGAUUUACCUUACUUCUCUGUGUUGACUGCGUGAGCAGCAGAACCUAGC